rnacentral:tRNA from 1 species
AUAGCUCAGUUGGUUAGAGCGCUACACUGAUAAUGUAGAGGUCGGCAGUUCAAAUCUGCCUG